CUGUCAAAGAAAUGAGGUCACAGAGCAAAUCACCAGAUGAGUGGACACAGAGAAUCACAACUUCCGGGAGCAGAAGCCACCCUGCUGUGUGGGCGCGCAGCCGUGCCCGACUCUCUGCGACCCCAUGGACUGUAGCCCGCCAGGCUCCUCUGUUCAUGCGAUUCUCCAGGCAAGAAUACUGGGGUGGGUUGCCAGUUCCUCCUCUCGGGGAUCUUCCCAACCCGGGAAUAGAAACUGCAUCUCUUGCGUCUUCUCCUUUGGCAGGGGCAUUCUUUACCACUGAGCGACCUGGGAAGCCCAAUAAUGGAAAAACCUGAACUGUAACUGAAAAAUUGCUGGAAGGUUGCCACGUACAGUUGAGCCGGUCGUUCACCGUGCAGAGGAGCUUAGUGUGAGGCCCAGGAGCUGCCACUACUGAAGCCCGUGUGCCUGGAGCCUGCGGUCUGCAACGACAGAAGCCACCGCAAUGAGGAGCCUGUGCAUCGCGAUGAAGAGGAGCCCCUGCUCGCUGCAACUAGAGAAAAAGCCCUUGCGGCAAUGAAGAUGCAGCAUAACCUAAAAGAAAAUAUAUAAAAUACUUUUUUUAAAAAGCCUUUUUGCUCAUCUCUAUCUCUUGUAAUCAUCUCAUUCUUUCAGGCCCUGCCAAAUAUUACUUCUAGGUGAGGUCUUCCUCCAGCCUCAGUUCAUCGCUCCAGUGCAUUCCUCCUUGGAGACUCGACAGCACCUGGUUUAUAUCGAGAAUGGCACUUCCUGUGGUCUUACAUCAGAGUGGGUGUCUCCCACUACCCAGUGAGCCCCUCAUAGGCAAGGGCUACCUUAUUCAGC
ensembl:lncRNA